rnacentral:tRNA from 1 species
GCCAGAGUCGCCCAGAUGGUUGGGAGCGCCGUUUCUUCGGUGGAUGACGUGGGUUCAAGUCCCACCUCUGGCA